CAUUGUGCCCCGUGCCCCCAUCGACUAGUGGAUACUUAAAGUUGAACGCAAAAAUCACAGACGAUCCGGUUAUCCAAGCCCGACACCAGGAUCUCACUGGGCACUGCAUCAGGUCGUUUUAUCGACGUUUCGCCCAUCAAACCGCCAACCACGUUUGCCGCCCGCUUCUGGUCGGCCAUCGGCUGGCUGGCAGAGUCCGAGAGUCCCAUAGCCGUGGCCAGCAGCUGCUGGUAGAACUCUUAGCGGAAGUUAGGCGGGAAGGCCAGCAAGUGGUUGCGGAAAUCAUUGGAAAUGAUCUCCAGGGCGAUGAUCUCGAUGAAGUGUUGGCGGAGUUGGUACUUCUGGACCUGCGUGAUGAGCUGGAUGAUAGCUAAUAAGUCGAAGACGCAGACACCUAGAACACCUAGAACGCCAUGAUAUUACUCACGCUCGACCCUGGAACCAGUGGAACGUCAAGAAAAAAUGAAGAAAAAGCACGAAAAAAUCAAACGAAAUGAUGACAGGAUGAAUUCCUUGCCCAGCGGAGUGUGUAUGAUAAAGUUUGGCAACUGAAGAAAAAGAAAUUCGGUGGAAAAAGGCCGAGGGACGUACUUGGUGGAAUCCGCACGUACCAGCAAAGACCCCGUUAAAAUCAAACUAUUAUCAGAGCCUCUCAAAAUUCUACGACCUGUGUCGUGUUUCGCUUUGAUCUGACAGAAUUCCUGCUUGAAUCACAAUCAAUCAAAUCAAGUAACCUUUCAUUUUCUGUAAAAAUGUUUGAUGAUGAUGAAGAAAGCUAAAACACCGAAAUAAGCUUAUGAACUUUUUUUCAUUAUUUUUUUGUUGCUAUCUGCCUGAACCUACCUUCUGUCGAAAUCCAGAAAUCAGGUUCCCCGUUGAGUAAGCUGCUGCUGUAGCCAUGCAUCCUGUCAUGUUGUUUUCAAGCAAGAAAGUGUUGGCUAGUGUCGAGAGAAAGCUGGAUCCUCGUGAUUGUCAGUUUUUACUUCUACUUGCUGCACUGGACUGUAUGAGGGAAUAAACACACAUCUGGGCGAUACGAAUUCUCAAUGGCACCUAAACAUGUCAUUUCAACGACUCCCUUUGUCUCAAUGAUGAGCGAAGUAUUGCGAUUUCCCUGAUUCCAACGAACCAGUGCAGUCAACUUAAACGGAGAAAUUUAAAUCAGGUCUGGUGGGAAGCGAAUGGUUUAGGCAGCAGUAGCCCUUUUUUUCCUUCAAAAAUUGAAUAAUACAAUCAGUUCACAUAUAACGUAUCUAUAUAAAUCUAUAACAUAUAAAUAUCGACUGGAGUUCAGACAUCAUGAAGAGCAGAGUGAAGCUGCUCCCCAGCAUGAGUCAAGUAAGGCUGAGGGUGAAAAAAUCCAAAUAGAAGUCAACCAAGACUCUCUUUUCAAAUUAUUCAAACUGUUGCCGAUGAUGCACCCCACAUUAAACGAGGUAUUACGGCACCAAGAAAAUACUAUGAGACAUUUGAAAUUACUGGAUCAAAAAAUGGAAGGCAUCACAAGAAAACUAGUAGGCGUACACAACACUGGACCAUCUGAAUCGGAGCAUGUUGCCAGAUUGCUGUCAAAACUACCCUUAAACUCAGUAGAUGAAAUGACUGAAUUUCUAGGAGAAAUCAAUGAUGCGAUUGCUGAUAAAAGCAUUACGAUUGAGUAUUUAGUAAGUAAAAAUUAAAGGUAUUUAAUGGACUUAUUUGAAUUGUUUUUUGUUUUGUUUGUUUUUUUAACUAGAGAAAUGCACUCAAACUUGAGGGAGGCUCGACUGCAGAAAAACUCACGAUUAAUAUAUUAAAAUCCGUGGUUUCUCUUGAAUUAGCAACGAAAUUUACUUAUUUUUGAGUAAAAACUAAAGACGGCGAGGGUGACAGACUCGCGUUUAGCACUACAUAUAUUUGCUGUUAAUUAUUGAAGAAAUCUGUUAGGGAAAACUUUCUGAAAUCCGAGUUGGAUGAGAAAUGUUUUAAAAAACAUAUUUCAAAUUGGCUGAAUGGAAGUAAGGAUACGAGGAAAAAAAUUUAAGUUGUAAACGAGGAAUCUGAAAUUGAUAAUUUAAUUAACAAAUUAUGUAUUCCGUGUUAUUAAAUUAACUUACUACAUUUUCAAUUACAUUCUUUCUGCAUCUCCAAUAAAGAAUGUAUAAUGAUUUUCAAUAUUUUUCUUCAUAUUGUCCCUGAGGGUAAGGGUUCAGAUUUUUAAAUUUUAAUAGCGUGUAAGUCUAUUGUAAACUGUAAGAGAUAGCACAAAUUGGUUAUCUUUCUCUGUAAUAUAAUAGGGGGGAAAUUGUUUGUGGAAUAGCAGUUUAUUUAGUGAGUGUUUGUAAAGCAUAGACAUUUCGUGAAACCUUUUGUUGAUAAUGAGCAAGAUUAUGGUGAAUGAAGGGAGAGAAUGAAGACGAUUUGGGAGAGAAUGAAGACAAAUCGGAAGAGAAUGA